GGUGAAAAAAAUUCAGAACAAUCAUUGUUAAAAGGUAGAGCGAUUUUUAAAUUCUUAGUCUUGCUUUAGUAAUUAUUGUAUUCGCUACAUAUUUAUAGUGCAAUUGCUGAAGCCAUUACUGCAGAAGGUAAUGCGUUGGAUUAAUUGAAGAUGAUUCGAUCAGCAAUGGAUGCUUAAGUUCAUAAUUCAUUGCACUAUAUCAGAAGUUCACAUGAUUAUUGAAAUUACAUUGACAUUACUUUGGAACGUGUAUAACAAAAUUUCCUAUCUCUUCUAGUUUACAUUGGAAACGCGAUAAACUGCCUGCUCUAUUUUACACUUUCAUCAUUCUCUAUUAACAAAUAAAGUAUCAUAUUUAGUACGAAAUGAAAUACAAACUUGAGAAUUUUAGGCAACAAAUACCUCUUAAUACCUAAUUACACGGCGCCUUACUUGAAAUAGAUUAAAGAAGAAAAAUAUAAUGAUUUUAUUUAUUGAAAUAACACGAAAAUGCCUAUUUACUGUUUACACUAGUUAUAGAAUCAAAUUUCCAUUCAACUCUAU